UGUCGCCAGGUGGAGGGAGCGUCGACGGACUGCUGUUUCACUGGCGAGGCUAUAUGGCGAGAACUCGUCUAGUGACGAAGAUGAUUUCCCGGCAAGUAACGAGGCACUUGCCAGAAGCGUCAGGGAAUCGGGAGGCCUCUCUGCCGCAGAAGAAGCCGCGGCAACAGAGGCAGACACAUCGUCGCGCUAAUCAGUGAGGUCCGAGACCACCAUGGGGACUUAGGUAAUUUUGGAGUGCCCAACGUGGGCAAGAUCAUGCGAAAUUAACAAUGACUAGCGAGCUUGAUACGAUUAUAUAAAUAAAAUGGAAGGUGCGCUCAGCACGGUGACAAGAGGAGCCUAUAGCGGCAAUAGAGAACUACUUCACAAAAAGGAACCCUCACGGGAACAAGUGAAGUAGUCAAGCGUAGUGAAGUAGACGAGAACAGUAAUGUUUGAUCACGAAUGUUUAUAUAUGAAUGUUCUAAUAUACUUCACGAAUAUAUUUAAAAAAAAAUACGACAAACAAGCUUUCAGCUAUAACAGUGAUUUUGUUUCAUUUGUGCGUAUUAUUCUGCGAUUUUUGGAGUGAAAAUGGAAAAUGUGAAGCGUGCCAAGAAAAGCGGGAUGCUCAGCAAGUUGGGCAAAGCGAUAAGGGAAGAGUGCGAAUGAGAAUGGGAGGCUGAAAACCAACCAGGAACCAGCAGACGCCUACGGACGCCACCCCGUAAGCGAUUCUAUUUGCUCGUCAAUCGUGCUGUAAAUAAUAGUGCAAGAACAAUUAAAACAUAUCAGUGGACUUGCUUAGGUACGGGCUUCAAAUCAUCCUAUGCAAUCGGUACGCAUACAGUUGAUAAAUUACAGUGAUGAUGAACUAGUGAAGCCUCUAGCGGUUCGUUAUUGUGUUAUGAGAACGAUGAUAAAGCGCAGCGAAACGAGAAGUUCUCAAAGAAACUGCGAAUGUGGGCUCUAUCGCAUCGUAUAAGGCAUACCGCUUUAAACGAUUUGUUGGCGAUAGUUCGUGAAUCUACGGACUAUUAUGUCCCCAAAGAUUCACGAACUCUUUUGAAGACCCCAAUCGAUGCAGGAAAAGAAAUUUGUACGGCGUCAGGUGGACAAUUAUGGUACCAAGGAAUUCAAAACUCUCUGCAGUACCAUUUUAGGUAAUAUUUUGUUUGUGUAUGCAUUUAAAUGACUAAAUUAUUCAACAUUUAUCAUUAUUAUAUCUUUGUUACAUUAUAUUACAGAACCCUCAUGCCCGCUGUGAAUGAGAAUACAUUUAAUUUGUUCGUAGAUGGUCUGCCGUUACAUCGUAGUGGACCAACUCAGCUAUGGCCGAUAAUGAUCCAGCUGCACGAGUUGCCGGAAGUACCUAUCUUGACGAUAGGGAUAUAUUGUGGCUUGGGGAAACCAAACAACGUGGAAGAGUAUUUGAGGCCACUAGCGACGGAUUUGACCCACGUUUUAGAGAAUGGAAUUGUUAUCCACAACAAGAAAAUCAAUGUCAGCAUAAGAGCGUUCAUUGCAGAUUCUCCAGCUCGAGCUUUCAUCAAAGGAGUUGCCAAUUACAAUGCUGCAAAUGGCUGCAUAAAAUGCAAAAUAUUGGGGAGACGCGUAAGAAACAGCAUGAUUUUUGAAGGAGUAGCAGCCGAAAGGACCGACGCGGAAUUCAGAAGCUGAAAAUAUUCCAUUGGGCACCAGAAACAAGAUACACCACUUUUAGAUGUUCCAGGGUUCGAUAUGGUGAAAACAAUAACGGUAGCUGACGAUCUGCAUAUACUUCACUUAGGAAUUAUGACGAGGUUAUUGCAAGGAUAUGUAGAAGGUAGCUUGGAACCAGUUUUAAAAUGGACGUUAGCAGAACAGAAAGAAAUGUUGUUUAUAUUAGUUAACACACAAUUGCCAGUCGAGAUACCUCGAGUAAUGAGGUCUCUCAAGCAUUUAGCAUAUUGGAAGGGGUUCGAAUUACGCUCUUUUCUUAACCAUAUUAGUGGCCCAAUAUUCAAAGGGCGAAUCCACGAUGAGGAAUAUCACCAUUUUAAGGUUUUGUAUGUCGGAGUCACUUUAAUAUCUAGUAAGCAUUUUGAGCAAUAUUGGAGUUUUGCGGCAACCCUAUUAGAAUAAUUUGUUCUAGAAUUUAGUUUCCAUUAUGAUAGGUCUUAUAUAAACAGUAACGUACAUAAUCUUCUCCAUUUAGCCGCUGAUGUACGCGAAUUCGGGCCUCUUCCAACUUUAUCUUCCUAUCUUUUUGAAGAGAAAUUACAAUUUAUAAAAGGAUUGGUCAGGACAGGUCAUAGAACAUUGGCACAAGUAGUCUGUAGACUAACAGAACUUAGAGAACUAGAGGCAAGUAGCAGGAAGGAAAACAAAGAUUACCCAUUAAUAAUACAAUACAAAAAAGAUGAGGUAAAGUUUCAUAUUUCAGAAAGAUUUUUAUAAAGAAAAGGUGAUAGGAAUGGUUGGUUUUUAACAAAAGACAAUAAGAUCAUAAGGUAUAAAAGCGUUACUAAAGUUUCAGGAUCAUUUAUCAUUGAAGGGCAUCACUUAGCUGAAACGCAGCCAGGGUUUAGUUUUCCGACCAGUUCAGAGUUAAUUUAUAAUUUUCAAGGCAGAGCUGCAGAUAUUCCAAAUGAUACAGUUAAGAUAGACUUAAGUAAUGUUAAAUUAAACCUUGUAGCAAUCUCAGUAGAUGAAAAAGAAACCUUUUAUUUUACUCCUCUUCUGCACACAUUGUUAGAAUAGAGCAUAUUAAUACAGGUAUGAAAAUAGAUAGAAACAGUAACCAGAUAUAAAAAUUUAUGUAGAAUAUUUAAGACAGUAUAGACUCUUCAUAAGUUUGUUGUGCAUACAUGUUUUGUUUUCGUUUAUAGGUAUUCACAGUUUGUUUUCUCAACUUUAUCUUUAAUCUCAUCAUUAACAAGUAGUACUUUUGUUUUCAAUUGACUAAUUAAUGAUGAUCUCCGUGGAUUGUAUUUUUCGGCAAUCAUUCAGGGAAGAGAGUGUUUAAAUUAAACAAAGAAAUAUAUAAAAUAUAAAUAAAAUUCAUUACAUUAUAUAAAUGCUAUUAACAUCUUUAAUAACAUACUAGUUUUGAGAGAUCGAAAAUUUUUAUUCUUCCUUUUCAUAUUUCAUAUCACACUUCAUAUAUCUUAAUUUUAAAUUUCAGAAUGAUCAUCACAAUCGUUUCUUCAUUAUUUGUGAAACACCAUAUUCUUAACCGUCAUAUCAUUCAAAAAUAUCUGUUUGUGACAGACGUCGUUUUUUAAUUGUGGAAGAAUUCCCUGGCCUAAUAUCACAGGGUGAGAUGAAAUAACUGCAACCAAAUUAAGGUUGUUGUUAUUUCUGAACCGCUCCUCUGACAGCUGUCAAAUUUAUUCCAGUGACAGCUCACUAUAUUGUUUAUAAGUGUAAUAACGCAUUUUAUUUUUGGAUUAAUCAGAAAAUUAAGUAUUCGUGAUGGAGCUCAAGCGUGACAGCGUAAUUGCUUUACAUUUGGCUGGAAAACCCCAAGUGGCUAUCGUUAGAGCCCUCCAGCAUUUAAAUGUUAAUAAAUCCUUUGUGUCUCGUACCAUCGCUCGUUACCGUGAUACUGGUAGCGUAGCCCGACGUCAAGGAAGUGGACGAAAAAAACAGCAACAUUGCCAGAUAUGGUUCGAAAAGUGAAGAAGCGGCUUCAACGAAAUCCGCGUCGCAGUGGCCGACAAAUGGCUCGUGAGCUUAACAUAUCGCAAUAUGCCAUUCGUCAAAUAUUGAAAAACGAUCUUGGACUAAAGCCUUU